rnacentral:rRNA from 1 species
AAUUGAUGGUGUUAUCGAAAGAGAAGCUCCUGAUCGAAGCCCCAGUAAACGGCGGCCGUAACUAUAACGGUCCUAAGGUAGCGAAAUUCCUUGUCGGGUAAGUUCCGACCUGCACGAAUGGCAUAAUGAUGGCCAGGCUGUCUCCACCCGAGACUCAGUGAAAUUGAAAUCGCCGUGAAGAUGCGGUGUACCCGCGGCUAGACGGAAAGACCCCGUGAACCUUUACUAUAGCUUGACACUGAACAUUGAAUUUUGAUGUGUAGGAUAGGUGGGAGCCUUUGAAGCAGUGACGCCAGUCAUUGUGGAGGCGACCUUGAAAUACCACCCUUUAACGUUUGAUGUUCUAACGAAGUGCCUGAAACGGGUACUCGGACAGUGUCUGGUGGGUAGUUUGACUGGGGCGGUCUCCUCCCAAAGCGUAACGGAGGAGCACGAAGGUUUGCUAAUGACGGUCGGACAUCGUCAGGUUAGUGCAAUGGUAUAAGCAAGCUUAACUGCGAGACAGACAAGUCGAGCAGGUGCGAAAGCAGGUCAUAGUGAUCCGGUGGUUCUGAAUGGAAGGGCCAUCGCUCAACGGAUAAAAGGUACUCCGGGGAUAACAGGCUGAUACCGCCCAAGAGUUCAUAUCGACGGCGGUGUUUGGCACCUCGAUGUCGGCUCAUCACAUCCUGGGGCUGAAGUAGGUCCCAAGGGUAUGGCUGUUCGCCAUUUAAAGUGGUACGCGAGCUGGGUUUAGAACGUCGUGAGACAGUUCGGUCCCUAUCUGCCGUGGGCGUUGGAUGAUUGAUUGGGGCUGCUCCUAGUACGAGAGGACCGGAGUGGACGCAUCACUGGUGUUCCAGUUGUCUCGCCAGAGGCAUUGCUGGGUAGCUAAAUGCGGAAGAGAUAAGUGCUGAAAGCAUCUAAGCACGAAACUUGCCAAGAGAUGAGUCAUCCCUGACUUUAAGUCAGUAAGGGUUGUUGUAGACUACGACGUAGAUAGGUUGGGUGUGUAAGUGUAGUGAUACAUUGAGCUAACCAAUACUAAUUGCCCGAGAGGCUUAACCAUACAACGCUCAAG